UAAAAGGCAUCUGGCUGGGUAGAUAAAUAGGAAGGAAUUAGAGGGAUAUGCGCCAAAUGCUGGCAAAUGGAACUCGAUUAAUUUAAUGUUCAGCAUCGAGAGGUUGGACCAAAAUGUCUGUUUCCAUGCUGUACGACUCUUUGACUCUAUAACAGGCUUGAUGGUUUCAUUGGCCCAUUCCUGUUUCUGUUUCUUUCUUGAUGGAUAUAUAGCAUUUUCCUCCUUGCACUGAAAUUUACGAAAGUGUGGUUGGAGAAAUUUUCCUCAUUUGGUGUACAUUUUUUGAGCACCUGAAUUGUCCUUGGAGCUCCAAAACAGUAGCCAUGAUAUUUCAAAAAUUUUGUGGAGUGAAUUGCAUAGAACAGUUCAUGGGUGAGGGUAUUAACAUGUGCACAGGAAAUGUCCAUCAAAGGCAGAUCAUUGGAUCAACUAGAGUACAACAGCAGUGCAACAUCCAUUUUGGAGCUCGACGCUCUGGCUGAUGCAUUGUCUUGACAUCAUGACUGAAUAAGUAUUGCACAGCUGAAAUAACUGUAUCGAGGCCGGUGUCCUCUCCCCAAAUCACCCUUUAAUUAUAUGUACACAGCCCACUAACUGUGGCCAACCAGCUCAGAGUCAGUCCCUGAAGUGAGAAAAUUCUGAAUCUCCUGUUUGUAUCUGUCAGCCAGGGCUCCCCAAUUGGGGUUGUUAACCUGGCCCAAUUAAGGAUCUCAUAGCCAAUAAGAUCCAUCUAUUUCCAAUCACUGCAUCAAUGGUAAGGAUAAACCAACGUAGUUUGAAGGAAUCAUCAACUACAUAUAGGUGUGUUCCCUGUUGAGUUCUUCUAUGCUAUGAUUCAACACACAUUUAAUACUUAAGGCUAGUUAUCACACACAGAUGCAGUAAUAGGCCUUUAUCUUGACAUGCGAUAUGACUUGGAUAACGAACAGAAGUAUCACACAGCAGGAAGCAGGAGGAGACCUUGACUUUGUUUGUAACUAGAUGAGGCCCAAGCACUUACCCUUGUAAUACCCACUAGUUACAUCCUGCCAACCUAAAAAUUACUGUUUUCCUAUUCUCUGCUUCCUGUUUGUUAAUCUGUCUUCAAAGCUGACUAAUGUGCCACCAAUAAACCUUAAAUUUAUGUAAUCGGCUCAUCCUCAGUACACUGUAUAUCUAUAUGCUCCUUUGUGAUAUGGUGGAUCUCUUUCUAGGCUGCAAAUUUAAAGUUAUUGUGUGAGUUACAGAUAAUCUCAGCAACUCUGAACAGUUGGUAUUAUUAUUGCUCGGCGAACAUGAUGCGCCUGUCAUGCCAUCCAGAGCAAGCGGUUAAUCUGGUCCAUCAAGACUUUUUCAACAGACUUGUAGCAGGUACGCAUAAGAACACCGUGAGGUAACUCUUCCCAUUUUAACUUGACAAGUUUCCCUUCCUAAUAUUAAACAAAUGCCAUUGCUUCUAAUUUCAAACCCUAUUUAAGGGUUUUGUUUUAACUUGAUACGUGUAAAUUCUUCAGUCUGCCAGCCAUUAACCAAAAUAAAUCCACUCAAUUUGUUUGAGUAUUUUAUGCAAUAUUUGAAGAAUGUUCAUGAUAUGUUAUUAUUUGGAAACUUAAAUUCAACAUAGAACAAUGGAUAGCUUUAAUUCGAUUUGUAUCUCCAUAUUGUGUGCAUUAAGAAGGGAAGAAUUUAGUUUUACUUCUGAAUUCUGAGAAUGGUUAGCGAUGUCUGGAAAUAAACUUCAAUUCAUUUAAUUGAUGUUUUUUAAAGGGAAAAAAAAUUGUGAGAUGAAUAGUUCAGUGCUUUCGAGAAAAUAGUUUAGAAAAGAAAAAUGGACCACAGCAAGAUGUUCUGUGACACAGAGACAGAAACAAAGAGAGAAGCAUCCAGAAAAUCAGAGUGUGCAGAUAGGAUCAUGUCAUUCUGGGAGAAAAAAAAGUCCUGUAAGAAUAGCAGUUUAGUUUAGCAGUCUCCAGACCAUCAGGCAGCAGAAGAGACCUGGGCAGUUCAAUAUUAGUACAGUUGGUUAUGCUGUUACACGGUAGUUCCAUCCUUGUUAUAAGAAAAUCACGUAAUAGAAAUUUGAACUAAUGGGGUCAGAUUUGUGUUAUAACCUAAACACACUUCCAAAAUUCAUGCUCUAGAAAUAGUGUCUCCAAUUGUUUAAUCACGUUAUAGUGAAUUUGCAUUAACGAAAUGCACAUUAUAGCAGAACAACCUGUCAAAGAAACCUUCAGAAACAGAAGCCCAUGGAAAAUGAGUUCCAGAAUCUAUGUUUGGAAGUAAGUAAGCUGCCUUAGUUUUGAUAAGGGUCUAAUGAAGAGAUUCAAAUUCAAGAAACUCGCAUUGAGUGACUGUGAAGAUAAAGAAACAAAGCACAAACAUGCCAACAGAAGAAGGAACUAUGAAGUGGAGACAACAUGAUCAUUCAUUUGAGAUUUGACUCUGCGCGAUUGUUGAGGCUACGAGGGUUGAAUUGCUUUAUUCAGAUAUUUGUAAGAAAACUAUUUCAACCAAUUCUUGUAAAAUGGUUUGUACUUUUGUUUUCUGUAUAUUCUUUAAUUGAUGUUGCUUGGCACCCUCUUGUGAAUAUAUUCAGUGACUGACUCCCAUAGUAAUAGCAUUACAAAAAUAAAGCCGAUGGGCUAACAAAUCAAAUUUCACUUGAGGAUCCAACUUAUACAGUGUUAUUAUUAGCUGGGAUCAUGGAAACAGAAAAUAGGAGUAGGUUAAUCAGCUUUUGAACAUUCAGUAUGAUCAUGGCUGAUCAUCCAACUCAGGUACCCUCUUCCUGCUUUUGCUUUUAGCCCAAAGAACUAUAUCUAACUACUUUUUGAAAACAUUCAGUCUUUUGUCCUGAACCCAUUUCUAUGGCAGAGAAUUCCACAGGUUUGCCAAUGUGGGUGAAGAAUUUCUCCAAAUCUGUGUCCUAAAUGUUUACACUGUAUCUUUAGACUGUGAUACCCCCAACACAACACAAACUGCUGUUGGAUUUUUGAGAGGUUUGUAGAACUAUAAAACAAACAGAUAAAUAACAAGUAGGUCAAUACAACUGGAUAGACAUUACAUUAGUUUUGAAUUACUUGAGAGAUAAUAUGCUUUGAUUGUGAAUUUCUUUAGCCAAUAAAGGCCCUCUGGCAGAAACACGUCCAAAUUUGUGUAUCAGUUUAAAUUUAGAGAAUUGCUGAUUCUUAAUGCAGAAAUCACCUUGGUAUUUGUCUUAAUAAUCAUCAUAAACCAUUCACUGUAUUGCUGUUUGAUAAUUACCUGCCAAGUUUAUUAUCCUGGCAUUUAAUAUUCCAGGAGUUAAAUUAUAGCUAUCACUUCAUAUGACUGUUUGAUAUCUUAGGUGAAAAAUAAAAGGCCAUUUUAAUGACUGAAAAUCAUUUCUGAAAGAAUAUUAUCACAGUUUCUGCUUCACAACUCUUCUGGUAAGUGCAGAGGUUCAUGAGUCUGGUCUUGUAGCCAUAUAGAAACAUGGUGACAAGAAGAUAAAGCUAAAACAUUCAGGAAAGGACAGGCAGGAAGUAAAGAAUUUUGUUUGCAUUUCUAGUAUGUGGCUGUCACUGGCUGGUCAACGUUUGCCUACUCCUAGUUGCCUUUGAUAAGGUGAUGGUGAGCUGCCUUCUUGAACUACUGCAGUCCAUGUGCUGUAGGUAGACCAACAAUUCCCUUAGGGAAAGAAUUCCAGGAUUUUGUCCCAGCGUCAUUUUUAUGUUGCUAGAUCUGUUCAAGAUGUGUCCCAUUUGUGAUAGUGGUAAUGCCAUACAACAUAAUGGAGGGUAUUCUCUAAGAUAAAAGUCAGACUUAAUCUCCACAUGGACCAAUACUGUUAUGGAUAGAUGCAUGUGCAGUCAGCAGAUUAGUAAGGAUGAGGUCAAGUAUGUUUUUCCAACUUGUUGGUUCCCUCACCACAUGCCACAGACCUAGGCCAGCAGCUAUACUCUUGAGGACCUGACCAGCUUGAUCACUAGUGCUGCUAAACAGAUCUACUUUAGGUGGUUGACAUUGAAAUCCCCCCACUCGAUGUACAUUUUGUGCUCUUGCUGUUCUCAGUGCUUCCUCAAAAUGUUGUUCAACACAGAGGAGUGCUGAUUUGUCAGCAGAGGGAGGACAAUUUGUGGUAAUCAGCUUGAGGUUUCCUUGCUCAUGUUUAAUCUGAUGCCAUGAGAGUUCAAGGCAUCCAGGGUCAAUGUCGAGGACUCCGAAGGCAACUCCCUCCUGACUAUAUACCACUCUUGCCACCUCUGUUGGUUUUGUCCUGCUGAUGGGAUAGGACAUAUCCAAGAAUAAUGGUGGUGAUAUUGUCUGUAAGAUAUGAUUCUGUGAGUAUGACUUUGUCAGGCUGUGAGACAACUUUCCUAAUUUUGGCACUAGCUCCCAGAUGUUAUAAGGAGGACUUUGCAGAGUUGACAGGCCUGUUUCUGUUGUGUCUGGUUUCUAGGUCUUCACCAGAUGGUCCAUCUGAUUUAAUUUCUUUGUUGAGACUUUGUAGUGAUUAAUAUUACUAAAUGGUUUGCAAAGCCAUUUCAGAGGGCAGUUGAGAGUUGACCAAAUUGCUGUGGGUCUGGAGUCACAUGUAGAUUAUAACAAGUUAGGAUGUCAAGAUUUCCUUCCCUGAUGGACAUUAAUGAACCAAACAAGUUUUUCUGGAAAAUUAACAAUGAUUUCAAGGCCAUCCACAGAUUCUUAAUUCCAGAAUUUUAUUUAUUGAAUUCAGUUUCCAUCAUCUGCCAUAGUGAGAUUCAAACCAGGGUUCCCCAGUACAUUAGCUGAGUUACCUAAUGAAUAGCAAUAAUACUACUGGGCUACCUUGGUGGUGUAUCUUUGUUAGUACAGAAUGGAAUAAGAGUGAUAGUAAGAAGUAACCUUGAAAAUAUGGAAUCGAUGUAGAUGGAAGUCAGAAAUAACAAGGGGAAGAUGACACUGGUGGAAAUCAUCUAUUAGCUCCUUUUAACAGAAUCUAUGCUGUAGAUUGAGAAUAAUUCAGGAGAUAAUUUGUGUUUGUGAAAGAGCGGUAUAUUAAUCAUGUUUUUUUUUUAGUGUUGAUUGGGGAAAAUCAAAUUGACAGAAGUAGUCAGAGGAGGAAUUGAGAGAGUAUAUUUGGGACAGUUUCCUAGAACAAUAUGCUAUCGUUCCGACCAUGGACCAGGUGAUUUUGGAUCUUAUAAUGUGUAAUGAGCCAGGUUUGAUAAUUAUCUCAGAGCAAAAGAUCCCCUCUGAAACAGUGACCAUAACACUGUAAAAAUUAGCUUCAGUUUGAGAGUGAGGAUCUUGAGUUGGAAACAACUGUACUAAACUAAGGGUAAUUACAAAAGAAGACUGGAGUGGACUGGGAAAGUAGCUUAGCAAAAAAGAUGAUUGUUGAACAACGGCAGAUGUUUAGGUUAACCAAUGAUGUUGAAGAUAGUAUCAAAUUGUCUGUAUUUUUGUUCUUUCAAUGAAGCAAAGGUUAGUAGUAAGCCAGAGGAUUGGAUAAAUUUAGAAAAAGCCAACAAAAGAGGACCAAAAGAAUUAAUACUGAGGGAGGAAAUAAAUUGAGGUAAACUGGUAAGAAAUAUCAAAAUAGACAAUAAGUUCUUUAUAAAUACAAAAAAGGUCGAGGCCAAAGUGAACAUAAGAUACUUAGAUAUUGGGAUUGGGGGUAUAAUGAUGAGGAACCAGGGAACAGCAGGGGUAGAAGACAUUAAUAGCAUUCCAAAAAUACUAAUUCAAGCGACAAAAGGAAGGGAACAAAUAAGUACACAAUCACGAGAAGAAAAGUAUUAAGGAAACUAAUGGGAAUUAGGGCUAACAAGUCUCUGGAAUCUGAUGGUUACCAUUGUAGAAUAUGAGAUAGUGGGUGUAAAAGUAAUACAGGCAUUGAUACUUCAUUAAUUGGAUUAGGGACCAUGUGCUGAAUCAUAUUAGUAUACACUCUAUAAACCUGUGGUGUCAGCCUCAUUUUGUUUUGAAGGAAGUUAUUACGCUGUGUUCCAGUUUGCCAACAUUUUCCAUUUCCAGAACUGAUGUGCCUGAUUCUCUGAAUUUCAGGUAUUCACAAUUUCUCCACAUCUCUUAAAUGUUGCUUUAGUUGAUUUUAUUAUCACUUUAUCUAUCAUAUCAUGUUACUAUCAUUUCAAUAAUUUAGCCACAUUCUGUUUUCCAUUUUAGUACUUUGAAUGAUGUUCUUUCUUUUUCUGUUCUUCUGUUCAUGUGUUUCCUAGUUUUGAUGAAGAGCCUAUGCCUAAGUAACUUCUCUGUUUUCUCUACAGAUGCUGGCAGAACAACUCAGUGUUCAAGACUUUGUUUUUCUUUCAGUUUUCAAUACUUACAG